UACGGAGGGGGCUAGCGUUGUUCGGAAUUACUGGGCGUAAAGCGCACGUAGGCGGCUUUGUAAGUUAGAGGUGAAAGCCCGGAGCUCAACUCCGGAAUUGCCUUUAAGACUGCAUCGCUUGAACGUCGGAGAGGUAUGUGGAAUUCCGAGUGUAGAGGUGAAAUUCGUAGAUAUUCGGAAGAACACCAGUGGCGAAGGCGACAUACUGGACAACUGUUGACGCUGAGGUGCGAAAGCGUGGGGAGCAAACAGG
rnacentral:rRNA from 1 species